rnacentral:rRNA from 1 species
GAUGAACGCUAGCUACAGGCUUAACACAUGCAAGUCGAGGGGCAGCAUAUUGGUAGCUUGCUACCAAUGAUGGCGACCGGCGCACGGGUGAGUAACGCGUAUCCAACCUUCCCCAUAGUAGGGCAUAGCCCGUAGAAAUGCGGAUUAAUACCCUAUGUUUUCCGAAGAUGACAUCUGAUUUGGAACAAAGGUUCACCGCUAUGGGAUGGGGAUGCGUCUGAUUAGGUAGUUGGCGGGGCAACGGCCCACCAAGCCGACGAUGUCUAGGGGAGCUGAGAGGCUUAUCCCCCACACUGGUACUGAGACACGGACCAGACUCC